rfam:Leptospirillum ferrooxidans C2-3 DNA, complete genome.
GGCCAGGCUCCGUGCAACAGAGUGCCGUGAACUCCGCCAGGUCCGGAAGGAAGCAACGGUAACGGAAUACUCAGUGUGCCCCGGAAUCACCUGGUCUCC